CUUCAUGUUGGGGACCUCAUCCGGGAUCCCAAGGUACAACACUCAUCAAAACGAGUCAAGAAAACUUAUUGUGAACUAUUUAUGGCCUUUAAUAAUUGAAUAAGGUAUACUCCUGUGAAGAAAAUUUGGAGCAUGUUUGUUUCUCUCUGCCUGGUUUCUCUGGAAUCUGGAAACUAUCUCAACAUCUGGUGGAGGCAAACCAGUGUUACAACCCAUCAGAAUGGCUGACAGUAAUCAAACUCUAAAUGGUGCUGCAGACAGAACCAUGCACGGACAUGCCUUUUUUCCGAGGACCCUUAGCUCGACCCCAGGAGGAGCCCUUAGCUUCUGUUCCCCACACAACACCCCUUUUAAGUAUGAAGUAGCCAGAAAGAGUCAUCAUCAAACAACCCCGAAGAGCAGUUAGGGUUACCACUCCAGAGUGGGGAAUGAUACAGGAGUUAAGAGGAAAUUACUUAGAUAGUGAGGAUACAGAAGUCCUCAGUAAGGUUUUCCUUUUACUGAAAAGCAGCCCCAAAUCAUU
rnacentral:lncRNA from 1 species